ACGGGAGGCAGCAGUGAGGAAUAUUGGUCAAUGGUCGGCAGACUGAACCAGCCAAGUAGCGUGAAGGAUGACUGCCCUAUGGGUUGUAAACUUCUUUUAUGCGGGAAUAAAGUGUCCCACGCGUGGGAUUUUGCAUGUACCGCAUGAAUGAGGAUCGGCUAAUUCCGUGCCAGCAGCCGCGGUAAUACGGAAGAUCCGAGCGUUAUCCGGAUUUAUUGGGUUUAAAGGGAGCGUAGGCGGGCCUUUAAGUCAGUGGUCAAAGCGUGUGGCUCAACCAUACCACGCCAUUGAUACUGGAGGCCUUGAGUGCACAUAAGGAUGGUGGAAUUCAUGGUGUAGCGGUGAAAUGCUUAGAUAUCAUGAAGAACUCCGAUUGCGAAGGCAGCUGUCCGGGGUGUAACUGACGCUAAUACUCGAAAGUGCGGGUAUCAAACAGGAUUAGAUACCCUGGUA
rnacentral:rRNA from 1 species